rnacentral:misc_RNA from 1 species
GAAAUGCGAUAAGUAGUGUGAAUUGCAGAAUUCAGUGGAUCAUCGAAUCUUUGAACGCACAUUGCGCCCCUUGGUAUUCCAUGGGGCAUGCCUGUUCGAGCGUCAUUUCACCACUCAAGCCUCGCUUGGUAUUGGGCAACGCGGUCCGCCGCGUGCCUCAAAUCGACCGGCUGGGCCUUCUGUCCCCUAAGCGUUGUGGAAACUAUUCGCUAAAGGGUGCUCGGGAGGCUACGCCGUAAAACAACCCCAUUUCUAAGGUUGACCUCGGAUCAGGUAGGGAUACCCGCUGAACUUAAGC